UGGGGAAUAUUGCACAAUGGGCGAAAGCCUGAUGCAGCGACGCCGCGUGAGGGAUGACGGCCUUCGGGUUGUAAACCUCUUUCAGCAGGGAAGAAGCGAAAGUGACGGUACCUGCAGAAGAAGCGCCGGCUAACUACGUGCCAGCAGCCGCGGUAAUACGUAGGGCGCAAGCGUUGUCCGGAAUUAUUGGACGUAAAGAGCUCGUAGGCGGUUAGUCGCGUCUGCUGUGAAAACUCGAGGCUCAACCUCGGGCUUGCAGUGGGUACGGGCUGACUAGAGUGCGGUAGGGGUGACUGGAAUUCCUGGUGUAGCGGUGGAAUGCGCAGAUAUCAGGAGGAACACCGAUGGCGAAGGCAGGUCACUGGGCCGCAACUGACGCUGAGGAGCGAAAGCAUGGGGAGCGAACAGGAUUAGAUACCCUGGUAGUCCAUGCCGUAAACGUUGGGCACUAGGUGUGGGGUCCAUUCCACGGAUUCCGUGCCGCAGCAAACGCAUUAAGUGCCCCGCCUGGGGAGUACGGCCGCAAGGCUAAAAACUCAAAGGAAUUGAC
rnacentral:rRNA from 1 species